CCUACGGGUGGCAGCAGUGAGGAAUAUUGGUCAAUGGACGAGAGUCUGGACCAGCCAAGUAGCGUGAAGGAUGACUGCCCUAUGGGUUGUAAACUUCUUUUAUAAAGGAAUAAAACGAGGCACGUGUGCCUUUAUGCAUGUACUUUAUGAAUAAGGAUCGGCUAACUCCGUGCCAGCAGCAGCGGUAAUACGGAGGAUCCGAGCGUUAUCCGGAUUUAUUGGGUUUAAAGGGAGCGUAGAUGGGUUGUUAAGUCAGUUGUGAAAGUUUGCGGCUCAACCGUAAAAUUGCAAUUGAUACUGGCAGUCUUGAGUACAGUUGAGGUAGGCGGAAUUCGUGGUGUAGCGGUGAAAUGCUUAGAUAUCACGAAGAACCCCGAUUGCGAAGGCAGGUUACUAAACUGUGACUGACAUUGAUGCUCGAAAGUGUGGGUAUCAAACAGGAUUAGAUACCCCUGUAGUC
rnacentral:rRNA from 1 species